UGGGGAAUUUUGGACAAUGGGCGAAAGCCUGAUCCAGCAAUGCCGCGUGUGUGAAGAAGGCCUUCGGGUUGUAAAGCACUUUUGUCCGGAAAGAAAUCCUUGGCUCUAAUACAGUCGGGGGAUGACGGUACCGGAAGAAUAAGCACCGGCUAACUACGUGCCAGCAGCCGCGGUAAUACGUAGGGUGCAAGCGUUAAUCGGAAUUACUGGGCGUAAAGCGUGCGCAGGCGGUUUGCUAAGACCGAUGUGAAAUCCCCGGGCUCAACCUGGGAACUGCAUUGGUGACUGGCAGGCUAGAGUAUGGCAGAGGGGGGUAGAAUUCCACGUGUAGCAGUGAAAUGCGUAGAGAUGUGGAGGAAUACCGAUGGCGAAGGCAGCCCCCUGGGCCAAUACUGACGCUCAUGCACGAAAGCGUGGGGAGCAAACAGGAUUAGAUACCCUGGUAGUCCACGCCCUAAACGAUGUCAACUAGUUGUUGGGGAUUCAUUUCCUUAGUAACGUAGCUAACGCGUGAAGUUGACCGCCUGGGGAGUACGGUCGCAAGAUUAAAACUUAAAGGAAUUGACGGGGUCAUAACUG
rnacentral:rRNA from 1 species